UUUUUUGAGAGUUUGAUCCUGGCUCAGGAUAAACGCUGGCGGCGUGCCUUAGGCAUUAAGGCGGGAAAGUGGCGGACGGGUGAGUAAUGCAUAGGAACGUACCCUAAAGUGAAGGACAUCUCGUCGAAAGACGGGGUAAUCCUGCAUAGUCUCGUUCUUCGAACGAGAAGCUCAAAAGUCAAAAGUCAAAAGUCAAAAAUGGAAAGGUAAUAAUUAAUAAAUAAAAAUUUUACCUUUUUCACUUUGAUCUUUGAACUUUGAUCUUUGAACUUACUCGUCCGGAGAACGAGUAAAGGGAUUAACUUCCCGCUUUUGGAGCGGCCUAUGUUCUAUCAGCUAGUUGGUGGGGUAAUGGCCUACCAAGGCUACGACGGAUAGCUGGAGUGAGAGCUUGACCAGCCACAAUGGCACUGAGAUACGGGCCAUACACCUACGGGUGGCAGCAACCGGGAAUAGUCGGCAAUGGACGAAAGUCUGACCGCGCGACGCCGCGUGAGGGAUGAAGUCUUUCGGGAUGUAAACCUCUUUUACCAGGGAAAAGCAAGGAUGGUACCUGGUGAAUAAGCAUCUACUAACUACGUGCCAGCAGUCGCGGUAAUACGUAGGAUGCAAGCGUUAUCCGAAUUUACUGGGCGUAAAGGGUCGCGUAGGCGUCCCAUCGCAUCUUGUUUUAAAGACCGGGGCUUAACCCCGGAAUUGGGCAAGAGAUGGAUGGGAUUGAAGGUUGGUGGGGUUUCCGGAACUUGCGGUGUAGCAGUGAAAUGCGUUGAUAUCGCAAGGAACACCAAGAGCGAAGGCAGGAAACCAACCAACUCUUGACGCUGAGGCACGAAAGCUAAGGGAGCGAAGCAGAUUAGAGACCUGCGUAGUCUUAGCUGUAAACGCAUGGGUGCUAGAUGGUCCAGCCUAGCUGGACUGUCGUAAGUUAACACGUUAAGCACCUCGCCUGGGGAGUACGAUCGCAAGAUUAAAACUCAAAGGAAUUGGCGGGGACCCGCACAACCGGUGGAGCAUGUGGUUUAAUUCGAGACGAAGCGAAGGACCUCACCAAGGUUUGACAUGUUAUCGUGUAUCCCGCUAGAAAUAGUGAGAAAUCCGCAAGGAUGAUAACACAGCUGCUGCAUGGCUGUCGUCAGCUCGUACCGUGAGGUGUUCCCUUAAGUGGGAUAACGAGCGCAACCCCUGUCAUUUGUUAAAUGUUCAAAUGAGACGGUCCCGACGUACGUUGGGAAGGAAGGUGGGGAAGAC
rnacentral:ncRNA from 1 species